rnacentral:rRNA from 1 species
AUGGCGAUUCAUAUCCCUCCUCCCAGCAAAUGGAGCCACAAGCACAUCAUACUUGUGACCCUGAUCGGAACCCUGGUCGCCAUCGCCAUCACGGCCAUCGUCUCCAUCAGCCUCUCCCCCGCGCAUAUCUACCUCUCUCUCACAGACAUGAAAGUCGGCGGGCCUGUCGAAGAUACCAAGUUCUACAACUUCACCAUCGUUGCCAACAACAGCAGCCCGCGCAUGGCGGUGCUGUACGGUGCCCUGGACACUGAGAUAUGGUACAGCGAGACGGCAUGGGUGCCGGCCAUGGUCGAUUUGAGCGUGCUGCAGGACGGGAGGAGGCAGGCGCCGGGAAAUGUGGCCCACAUCAACGUGUCGGCGGAAAUUUUUGAGAACUUACAGAGCAAGCUUUUGGUGUUCAUUGCACUGGUAGCACAAAAACUCCCGGUGCACAGGGUACACUCUUAA